rnacentral:rRNA from 1 species
GACGAACGCUGGCGGCGUGCUUAACACAUGCAAGUCGAACGGAAAGGCCCUGCUUUUGUGGGGUGCUCGAGUGGCGAACGGGUGAGUAACACGUGAGUAACCUGCCCUUGACUUUGGGAUAACUUCAGGAAACUGGGGCUAAUACCGGAUAGGAGCUCCUGCUGCAUGGUGGGGGUUGGACAGUUUCGGCGGUUGGGGAUGGACUCGCGGCUUAUCAGCUUGUUGGUGGGGUAGUGGCUUACCAAGGCUUUGACGGGUAGCCGGCCUGAGAGGGUGACCGGCCACAUUGGGACUGAGAUACGGCCCAGACUGCUACGGGAGGCAGCAGUGGGGAAUAUUGCACAAUGGGCGGAAGCCUGAUGCAGCAACGCCGCGUGCGGGAUGAAGGCCUUCGGGUUGUAAACCGCUUUCGCCUGUGACGAAGCGUGAGUGACGGUAAUGGGUAAAGAAGCACCGGCUAACUACGUG